rnacentral:rRNA from 1 species
UACGGGGGGGGCAAGCGUUGUUCGGAAUUACUGGGCGUAAAGGGCGCGUAGGCGGCCUGUUAAGUCGGACGUGAAAUCCCUCGGCUCAACCGGGGAACUGCGUCCGAUACUGGCGGGCUUGAAUUCGGGAGAGGGAUGUGGAACUCCAGGUGGAGCGGUGAAAUGCGUAGAUAUCUGGAGGAACACCGGUGGCGAAGGCGGCAUCCUGGACCGACAUUGACGCUGAGGCGCGAAAGCCAGGGGAGCAAACGGG